CCUACGGGGGGCUGCAGUGAGGAAUAUUGGUCAAUGGGCGCGAGCCUGAACCAGCCAAGUAGCGUGAAGGAUGACUGCCCUACGGGUUGUAAACUUCUUUUAUAAAGGAAUAAAGUGAGGUACGUGUGCCUUUUUGUAUGUACUUUAUGAAUAAGGAUCGGCUAACUCCGUGCCAGCAGCCGCGGUAAUACGGAGGAUCCGAGCGUUAUCCGGAUUUAUUGGGUUUAAAGGGAGCGUAGGUGGGUUGUUAAGGUCGUGGUGAAAGGUUGCGGCUCAACCGUAAAAUUGCAAGGUAUACUGGCAGCCUUGAGUACAGUUGAGGUAGGCGGAAUGCGUGGUGUAGCGGUGAAAUGCUUAGAUAUCACGAAGAACUCCGAUUGCGAAGGCAGCCUACUAAACUGCCACUGACAUUGAUGCUCGAAAGUGUGGGUAUCAAACAGGAUUAGAUACCCCAGUAGUC
rnacentral:rRNA from 1 species